rnacentral:rRNA from 1 species
CAAACGGAGAGUUUGAUCCUGGCUCAGGACGAACGCUGGCGGCGUGCUUAACACAUGCAAGUCGAACGGGAGUACUUUGAAAGCUUGCUGAUAAGUACUUUAGUGGCGGACGGGUGAGU